rnacentral:rRNA from 1 species
UACGUAGGUGGCAAGCGUUGUCCGGAUUUAUUGGGUUUAAAGGGUGCGUAGGCGGCUUUGUAAGUCAGUGGUGAAAUAUGGCAGCUUAACUGUCAAGGUGCCAUUGAUACUGCGGAGCUUGAGUACAGAUGAGGUAGGCGGAAUUGACGGUGUAGCGGUGAAAUGCGUAGAUAUUGGGAGGAACACCAGUGGCGAAGGCGGCUCACUGGCCCGUAACUGACGCUGAGGUGCGAAAGCGUGGGGAGCAAACAGG